rnacentral:rRNA from 1 species
GACGAACGCUGGCGGCGUGCUUAACACAUGCAAGUCGAACGGAAAGGCCCUGCUUUUGUGGGGUGCUCGAGUGGCGAACGGGUGAGUAACACGUGAGUAACCUGCCCUUGACUUUGGGAUAACUUCAGGAAACUGGGGCUAAUACCGGAUAGGAGCUCCUGCUGCAUGGUGGGGGUUGGAAAGUUUCGGCGGUUGGGGAUGGACUCGCGGCUUAUCAGCUUGUUGGUGGGGUAGUGGCUUACCAAGGCUUUGACGGGUAGCCGGCCUGAGAGGGUGACCGGCCACAUUGGGACUGAGAUACGGCCCAGACUCCUACGGGGGGCAGGAGGGGGGAAUAAUGCACAAUGGGCCGAAGCCUGAUGCAGCAACGGCGGGGGCGGGAUGACGGCCUUUGGGGUGGAAACCGCUUUCGCCUGGGACGAAGCGGGAGUGACGGGAAUGGGUAAAGAAGCACCGGCUAACUACGUG